UUCUCCCUCUUAGCUGGAUUUGUUCAUACUUACUGUAUCUAUAGUUCAGCUUGAGAUAUUAUCUUCUUAUUAUAUGAGGUUUUCCUUUCAAGACUAAGGGCAUACAUCUUUGAAAAGUGUGCAAGCUGGAGUAGGCUCCAACGGCAAUGGAAGAUGUUUGGUAGUUGAUUUUGAACCAAUAGAACAAAGGGGAAUUAGGGGUGAGAAACAAGUUCUCAAUGGGUAGAGAAACACAUUCUCAAUUUAUGAAUUCAAAGGGGAACUUCGUCCUAUGUAUAGAGUUUUUGUAGUUCUAUUAACAUCAGGAUUAGAAACUCUAAAUCCAAUUUUAAUUAGGAAUCACAAAUCACAUAAAAUUCUAAAUAAAAUGAAAUAUUUCUUUAUAGGUAGUCCUAAUUCCCUAGAAUUUACUUUGGCACAGUUGACCGACAAUAACACUAGAAGGCAAAGCUGAAUCCAAAGCUGAAUAGCACUGAGAACUCAUGUUGUGCUUUUUGUCUUUUUGAUCUUAUGUGGCCUUAAUUCCUUUUGAUUAUAUUUCCCUUUGAAAUACUAGUUUCCUAACUUG
rnacentral:misc_RNA from 1 species